GACGAACGCUGGCGGCGUGCCUAAUACAUGCAAGUCGAGCGGAAUGAUGAAGAAGCUUGCUUCUUCUGAUUUUAGCGGCGGACGGGUGAGUAACACGUGGGCAACCUACCUUGUAGAUUGGGAUAACUCCGGGAAACCGGGGCUAAUACCGAAUAAUCCAUUUUGCUUCAUGGCGAGAUGUUGAAAGACGGUUUCGGCUGUCACUACAAGAUGGGCCCGCGGCGCAUUAGCUAGUUGGUAGGGUAAUGGCCUACCAAGGCGACGAUGCGUAGCCGACCUGAGAGGGUGAUCGGCCACACUGGGACUGAGACACGGCCCAGACUCCUACGGGAGGCAGCAGUAGGGAAUCUUCCACAAUGGACGAAAGCCUGAUGGAGCAACGCCGCGUGAGUGAAGAAGGUUUUCGGAUCGUAAAACUCUGUUGUAAGGGAAGAACACGUACGAGAGUAACUGCUCGUACCUUGACGGUACCUUAUUAGAAAGCCACGGCUAACUACGUG
rnacentral:rRNA from 1 species